GAAGUAUUUUACAGACCCCCCUUUUUCGGCUAAGAUCAUGUCUAAGGCCAGUCUGUUCUGGAAGGUCAUUUGGGAUGUGGCCUGUAAUUGCUCGGCCAAGCCCUGGAGGGCAUCCCUGGUGUAGUUCACGAAGCGCUGUUGGUUGUAAUAGAUAUAAUUAAUCCAAUUAAGGUUUUUGUUGGCAGUGACUAUGGUAAAAAGUGAUUCAAAACCUACAGCUACUUCAUCUCUAGCUUUAAAUUCAUUAGGUACCCCCCUAGGCACCCCAAUGGCAUCUAUGUAAAUGUGGGGGUCAAAACUGCCUUUUACUGGGGUUUCGCGCCUUACUCUGGCUGAUGUAUGUGGAGGGUCGUAUGUGUCAUGAUGAUUAUCAGAAAUAAUAUGAAUGGGCAUGAUAACUUUGGCCAGGGUACACUCACCCCACCACUCAGUUUCCAGCCUAGAUCUUAACUGUAGAUCCCCACAUAACCAGUAAAUAUCUCCCAAUGACCUGGUAUGGUGUUGCAACAGGCGUAUAGGAACAGUUCUGUAAGUGGCUCAAUAACCUUUAGAAAAAUUACCCAUGAAUUUACCAAUCCCGUCAUACAUGGCAUAACAAGUGUAAUUACCUCUAUAGACUGUGAUUCCAUCUGGUGGCUUAACAUUUUCAACUAAGAGAGGGUAUUCUGCCGUCCAUGCCAUGCAGAGGGACCUAUUAAAGUCAUAUUGGUAGGCAAAAAGGCUUAAGAAGCAAUCUUCUAUCUCUAAAGGGAGAGUUAGGGGGACGGUGCCAAGGUGGGGUCGGGCACCGCCACAUACAUAACAUGCUGUUUUAUUAUGUUUGUUAGCAUUAUACC
rnacentral:lncRNA from 1 species